AACAAGGCGUACCUGCGGACCUGCGGAGGGAUCAUUACCGAGUUUACAACUCCCAAACCCCUGUGAACAUACCUAUACGUUGCCUCGGCGGAUCAGCCCGCGCCCCGUAAAAAGGGACGGCCCGCCCGAGGACCCCUAAACUCUGUUUUUAGUGGAACUUCUGAGUAAAACAAACAAAUAAAUCAAAACUUUUAGCAACGGAUCU
rnacentral:misc_RNA from 1 species